rnacentral:misc_RNA from 1 species
GAUGAAGAACGUAGCGAAAUGCGAUACGUAGUGUGAAUUGCAGAAUUCAGUGAAUCAUCGAAUCUUUGAACGCACAUUGCACCUCUCGGUAUUCCGGGAGGUAUGCCUGUUCGAGCGUCAUUUGUACCCUCAAGCUCUGCUUGGUGUUGGGUGUUUGUUCCGCCUCUGUGUGUGAACUCGCCUCAAAACAAUUAGCAGCCGGCGUACUUGUUUCGGAGCGCAGCACAUUUUGCGAUCCAGAUCAACGUACAGCGGCAUCCAAGAAGCCUUAUUUAACGCUCUUGACCUCGGAUCAGGUAGGGAUACCCGCUGAACUUAAGCAUAUCAAUAAGCGGAGGA